CCAGCACCCGCGGUAAUUCCAGCUCCAAUAGCGUAUAUUAAAGUUGUUGCAGUUAAAAAGCUCGUAGUUGGAUUUGUGGUGGUUGUUUACCCCCCGUCACUCUGUGGCGCGGUGGAGUAAGCAACCCCAUGUUUGGUGUGGAAGCUGUGUGGCAUUAAGUUGUCGUGCAGUGAAAGCCCAUCGUUUACUGUGAAAAAAUUAGAGUGUUCAAAGCAGGCAAUGGCUCAUGAAUAUAUUAGCAUGGAAUAAUGAGAUAGGACCCCGGUACUAUUUUGUUGGUUUGUGCACCGGAGUAAUGAUUAACAGGGACAGUUGGGGGUAUUCGUAUUCCAUUGUCAGAGGUGAAAUUCUUGGAUUUUUGGAAGACGAACGACUGCGAAAGCAUUUACCAAGGAUGUUU
rnacentral:rRNA from 1 species